CUUUUAGAUAUAAAUAGCAAGGGUGACCUAAGUAUGGCCUUUAUUCGUGUUUGCAUCUUGUCUUGUUGCCUAAAGAAGUAAAAAAGAGGAUAAAAAUGGCUUCAAAAUCUAUGGUUUCUUUUCUUUUGGUGCUUUGCAUUAUGGCAUCUUGUAAGUAUCUCUUUCUUUCCAGGAAAAUGCUAUAUAUAGUAGUUUGCCAAAACCACACCACUCAUCUUGUGUUUAUUUUUUUUCUUUUCUUUUCAGACUAAAUUAGUGUUUGUUUGUAUAAGACACCGUAUGAUACAGACAAAUUUCAGACCAAAUGUAUAAUAGUACCAUGAUUAGUUCUCACGUAUAUCAGCAAUUCUCUUUACUCUCUUUUGUUUUUUGUUUUUUUUUUGUUUUUGCUUGCAAAAAACUAAAUAAAAAGAAAUUAUGGCAGGUCUAUCAUCAGGAACUGAAGCAGUGCUUUGGCAUGCAUUUAAGGACUGGAUUUUGGGGAUUGACAGGCCCUGCGUAGUGCAGGCGGAGUGCGAUGUAUUGUGGUGUCCGUUUCUGAAAGCUCCACGCUGCGAAAUGCCUCCGAUGCGUGAUCAUCCUGGAAGGUGCAAAUGUGGACCGUGGCAUUGAUUUACCAGAAUUUGUUUGUUCUUGAAGGUGUAUGAAUAAACAAAACCCCAUGUAACUUUUCUCAAACAAAAGCGUUGAAAGAUCAAUGAUUUUCAAAUGCUGCUCUUCAUGUUCACGGUUGUGCCAAAAAUAACAAUGAAAUAAGCCUUCAAGCUACCAACUAUUUUUCAAUGAGAUAGCCUAACAUACAUACAUACAUAUAUGUGUGUGUGGUCUUACUUAUUGCAUUUCCCCUUUAAAAUGUUUUCAAUGUUUGAAAUUGAUCAUCUAAUUUUUAAGCAGUAUUGCAG
rnacentral:lncRNA from 1 species